rnacentral:other from 1 species
AGGGGAGUAGCCGUCCCGGCGCAAGUCCGGGAGCAUGCGUCAACACAAUUGACCCGAAGGGUCAUGGUGCAUGCGGCCCAUGCGGUCUGGCGAGACCUGUGGUAUCGACCUCCGAUCCGGGCCGGACGNNCGUCCGGCCCCUUGGAGUAUCCCGUGGAA